GUGGCAGCGGGCGCGCCUGUAGGGGCAGCUGCGGCGGCGGCCCGGGCCUGAGGAGGCGUUGUCGCCCCAGGCUUAACCCGGGGACCGCCAAGGGGCAGGUGAGCUCCCGGCAGUUCUGUCACCGCCGCCAACGGGGACCGGUGGCAGUUUAUAUAAAGGAAGCACUGGGACUUGUGGCCACACCCUUCAAG
rnacentral:lncRNA from 1 species